GAUCUUCAGCUAUAAGACCCUCCAAAGUUGCUGAUGGUUUUGAGGCAUAACGCGAGUCUGCAGGAGGUUCAUGUACAGGAACUUGUUCAGUCACCACGUUGUGGGUAGCACUAGUAUACCGCUGCAGAAAAUUCAUUAUCCUGAUCAGAGAUCAGACCGGAUAUUGGCCUGAGAAAUGAGAGAGAUCCACUUCUCAGGGCGGAGAGAUGCGAGCAGCAGGAGCCAGCAGGUGCAGAGAAAUCUUUCGGGCUUAAAAGAGUCUCAGUUUCUUCACUCAAAAU
rnacentral:misc_RNA from 1 species